rnacentral:lncRNA from 1 species
UCCACUUAAUGUCCAUUUACAUCUAAAACCCAUACCCAAUUACAUCAACCCAAAUCAACAUAGCCCAAAACCCUCUUUAAACCUAGUUCUAAGCCCAGCAAACCAACUCGGCCCAAUACACUAUGGCCCGAUUUUAAGAAAAUUCCAGAAACACCUAGGGUUUCUGAAAUCCUUUGCGCAGCAGUCAAGCCAGGCUCUGCUCCGCGCAUGCUGCACCACUGCCAAGCAUCGACCUCCCCCACGCGCCUCCAUACACUCCAGCUGGACUCCUCCAUACCUGUAGCAAACAACAAAUCGACAGCAAAAUGGAACAAACAAACAGCAAAAAAAGGAAGGCAGAGAAAAAAAAUAGAAUUUGUAUUCGUUUUCUUUUCUUUUGUUUUUUCGAGUGAUAAAAAACCCAAAGAUGUACUGAAAGGGGGGCUUUUUUUCCCUUUUUACGCAUUCAGAAUACAAAGAAAAAAGAUUGAAAGGUGACUUUCGGUUUUUCUUUUCCAUUCGCAGAUCGUCCUCUUUCUUUUUCUUUCUUUUUUCGCUUUACAUUUAUUGAUUAUUUACUAAAGAAACAGUUAAUAAUAAAAGAAAGACAUACCUGGUAACCCCAUCCUCUCCCUCCGUCGUUAUCGGAGUUGAGUGGGGGUUGGAGAGUCUGAGGAGAGGUUUCGUCGAGCGGCGCAGAGGGAGUUUUAGUUUAGGUUUUUUUUUG